GAUAGAUGAAUGGAAGGAGCGAAGGGAAAGAUAUCUUGCUAGGCAGCAGGUUGAAGGAGUAGUAGACUCUGUAUAGAGUGACACUAGUCUUCUAGGUGCCUUUCUAUGAAGAAGAAACUUUACAUAAUUCCACCACUCAGUAUAUUCAUCCAAUCUUUUCAUGUAACGUGAAGCAUGUUUUAUUCAGAGGAUCAUGUAGGACAACAUGUUUUUAUGUAAAAAAGGAAUGUGAGGUGAAUUUUCUGUGUUUGAGCUGCUGAAAA
rnacentral:misc_RNA from 1 species